rnacentral:lncRNA from 1 species
AAAAAACGACCUGCCCAGACCCUCAGCGUCGACGCUGCGCACAAGCGCAGUCAACUGCUGGACCCGGCCGGUGUGAAGUUUCACACCCAAAAGGAUGAAGGGCACCCACCUGGCUUAAGAGAACGACUCCCAGGUAAAGGGCCAGACCCAGACACUUGUCAUCCUGUGUACUCUGCUCACUUGUUGCUGUUUCUGUUGUUGCUGCUGUUUUUGCUGUGGAGCACUUAAACCACCACCUGAGCAGGAUAGUGGGAGAAAAUAUCAGCAGAAUGUCCAGAGUCAGCCUCCAAGGUCAGGAGCCAAAUGUGAUUUUAGAAGCGAGGAAAAUAGCGAAGAUGAUUUUUAAGAGAUGAAGAAGGAUGAGGUGCUGACCCAGUGAGGGUGCCUUCUGCUGCCCAGUCCCCUGGACACAUUGAAGAGAGGAGCAAGUAGCCCUGUCCUGACAUUGACCCUGAUUUGACCCCUCUUCUUAUAAGGAUCUCAAGAAUCUCUUCAGAAGCACUGAUGACGUUGAUCCCAGUAAGGACAUCACCUCUACCCUUGGUACCACAACUCUGUAUGGGGUUGCCCAGCUACUCUUCCUUUCAGUUGCAGUCCCAAUUUUACUCCGUCAGAAAGCAGCCCUCCCCUCCCUCCCCUUAUGAGGUCUCAGGCAGUGGUGGCAGAUUUUUCCUGAAGAGUCUUUUUCCUGUGUCUGCCUUGUUAUUGGAACCAAUGCCAGCUGGUAGGAUCCCUGAGCCCCUUGCGAUAUCACCACCAAGAGCCUGAUAACUGAGCAGGGUGGAUCCUGUCCCUGGAGCUGCUGCACCCAUUAAUUCUCCCUUGUUGCAACUCUGUGUACCAAGAACCCCUAGCAUCAGCCUCAUUCCUAAGCCAAUAACGCCUGUAUGGAGUUGGUUUCAUCUUCUGGUGCCCACGGCCAUUGGCAUUGCCAGCCUCAUUCCAUGCCACUAUGAGUCAACUCAGGAAAACUGCGAGUGCAUUUGAGGCUUAGGGGUAGUCAUUCCAUCUUUAGAUUAUCCUUGGACUUCAGCUACCAGCACAGCAUGCAUUAGCCUUGGUCCUGUAGGUUAACUGAAGUUCAAACAUCAGUGCCAGCUUGCCUCCAUCCUUUUCACAUAUUAUGCAGGCCAAUUGACAUAUAAUUUGUUCUUAAAAAUAGGGGCAUGAAAUAUGUGAUCUGGAAAAGAUUGUACUUUCUGGACUCUUUUCCCACUCUUGCCUCUUUGUGCUGCUGUUUCGUAUCCUCCUCACACCGUGUAUUUCCCACCCACUCAGGGUCACAGCCUACUAAUUCCUCAAACUUCUCUCCCUGGACUAGGAGAAAGGCUAAAGAAUGUCAGUAAAUAAAAGAGCUUUCAUCCAAU